GGGGAAUUAGCUCAAAAAGGUAGAGCGCUCGCUUAGCAUGGGAGAGGUAGCGGGGUCAAUGCCUGCAUUCUUCA